CCCGCACAAGCGGUGGAGCAUGUGGUUAAUUCGAUGAUACGCGAAGAACUUACCGGGUUGACAUGCAGGUGAUCGCCGUUGAAAGACGGUUUCCUCUUCGGAGGCACCUGCACAGGUGCUGCAUGGCUGUCGUCAGCUCGUGUCGUGAGAUGUGGGUUAAGUCCCGCAACGAGCGCAACCCUUAUCAUUAGUUGCUACGCAAGGGCACUCUAAUGAGACUGCCGGUGGACAAACCGGAGGAAGGUGGGGAUGACGUCAAGUCCUCAUGGCCCUUAUGGGUAGGGCUUCACACGUCAUACAAUGGUCGGUACAGAGGGUUGCCAAGCCGCGAGGUGGAGCCAAUCCCAGAAAGCCGAUCGUAGUCCGGAUUGUUCCCUGCAACUCGAGAGCAUGAAGUCGGAAUCGCUAGUAAUCGCGGAUCAGCAUGUCGCGGUGAAUACGUUCCCGGGUCUU
rnacentral:rRNA from 1 species